rnacentral:lncRNA from 1 species
UAAAUAUUAUCUGUUUAAUCUGCAAAAGAAAGUAACAGGAAGUGAGAUAACAAGUAGAUAAAAUGUUUACAUCAAAAAACUUGUUUUUUAUGUAGUUAAUGGGACUUUCAACUCUACAGUCUUAUUUGCAAAGGAACAGGAUAAGGACAUCCUUUUCUAUUUUAAUUUCAUUAGCUGCUGUUAUGUAUUUUUCCUAAAUCAGCCUCUUUAUGAAUACACCUGUCUACAUUUCUAUUAUUUUCUUUGUAAAUAGUAUGGAGGCCUGAUUUUUCAUACUAAUAAGGAACCAAGCAAAUACUAUGAAUGCUGAUGGAAUUAGAGAUAACAGGAACUUGUUUCCUCUGAGAAUACAACACUCUGAAAUGUUACAAAUGUUGGAGACAGACUCACCAUCGCAUGCAAGGGGGAGCAAAGACAAGAUUCCGGAAUGUGCCACUUUGGCAUGUGGAUUGUUUCCAGCUGAAGACGAAAGCCAACAGACUCAAGAAGAGCUUUUUAUCUCCCCUUGAACUGCCUAAAAACUUUUAGAUAGUCUAUAGCAAAAGAGAACUAAUGCCAAAGAAAAUUUUUGGUUAUUUGUAGGGCCUGGCAAAUAUUUGUUUACCAAACGUCUGCUUGUCUCAUCUUUCUGAGAUUUGUCUUCCUCCCUUUUGACACUCCACACUUGUAUCCCCUUCUCCUUAGAUCAGAAUGUUAUAUAAGCGUCGAUUACCUGACUGCCAGGGAGCCUCUCAUGUCUUUGUGAGGCUUCUGAAUACACAAAAUUAAAAUUGUUUUUCCCCUGGUAAUCUGUGUUAUGUCAAUACAACUAUUAGACCAGCCAGAGAACCCAGAAGGGAAGAAGGGAAAAGUUUUCUCCCAUACAUAUGUUUGAUGUGAUUGCUUAUAUGUCACUUGUGGGUAGGUUGGAGCCAUAUCACUGAUUUUGGCCAAGGGACUGUGAGUGGAAGGAUGGAAAUAUAUAGUGCUAUUGAUUAAUUAAUUAGUGUGCUUUGUAUGUGGCUCUAUUAGAC